UACGUAGGGUGCAAGCGUUGUCCGGAAUUAUUGGGCGUAAAGGGCUCGUAGGCGGUCUGUCACGUCGGGAGUGAAAACACGGGGCUUAACCCCGUGCCUGCUUCCGAUACGGGCAGACUAGAGGUAUGCAGGGGAGAACGUGAAUUCCUGGUGUAGCGGUGAAAUGCGCAGAUAUCAGGAGGAACACCGGUGCGAAGGCGGUCUCUGGGCACUUACCUGACGCUGAGGAAGCGAAAAGUGUCGG
rnacentral:rRNA from 1 species